rnacentral:rRNA from 1 species
AACGAACGCUGGCGGCAGGCCUAACACAUGCAAGUCGAGCGCCCUUUCGGGGGAGCGGCGGACGGGUGAGUAACGCGUGGGAAUAUGCUCUUCUCUACGGAAUAGCCUCGGGAAACUGAGAGUAAUACCGUAUACGCCCUGUGGGGGAAAGAUUUAUCGGGGAAGGAUUAGCCCGCGUUGGAUUAGGUAGUUGGUGGGGUAAUGGCCUACCAAGCCGACGAUCCAUAGCUGGUUUGAGAGGAUGAUCAGCCACACUGGGACUGAGACACGGCCCAGACUCCUACGGGAGGCAGCAGUGGGGAAUCUUAGACAAUGGGGGCAACCCUGAUCUAGCCAUGCCGCGUGAGUGAUGAAGGCCUUAGGGUUGUAAAGCUCUUUCAGCUGGGAAGAUAAUGACGGUACCAGCAGAAGAAGCCCCGGCUAACUCCGUG